AUGAUAGAGGCGCGGUGCCUAAAAGUAAUUUGUCGUUUAUCGGAAUAUCGACGGCAAACGAAAGGAUUCACCGCCGAAACGGUUUGGUUUUUUCCGUAAAAUCUUCCGUUGGGUUGCAAGGGAACACCUUGCAGACUGUCGCAAAGGCUACUUUGCGGGGCGCUAUUGUG
rnacentral:ncRNA from 1 species